ACAACCAAGCCUUUCAACAAAUAGCCCCAGGUUGGCUAUGAUAAAUUAGUUUUAUGAUGAUGCAGUUUCUUCUGUGAGGGGAGAACUCUGAAAUGUUAUCAGGAGAGACAAAGUUGGCGACUCUGAUCGUGGUUCACAAACCAUCAUAUGCAGAUGGCAAGGAGGGGCUGAAGAAAGAGGCAGACCACUCCAGACUCGUGGGUAACAGAUUUAACAAGUGCUCCCUUGGGCCAAAACCAACUAAAAAGCAGCAGACAAGAGAGCCCGUUGAUGCAGUCUCUACAGGUUAACCUCCAAUACACAGGAGUGUAAACCAUAUGAGCCUUUCCCGGUUAUGGAUUGUGAGGUAAAUAUGCUGUGACAACCAACUUACAUUCCCCAAGAGUGUCAGGCUGGUGGAAAAUAUCACUGAAAUUCAUGACGCCUCUUGAAAGUUUCUCCCUAAAUGUGAAUCUGAAUGAAGUAAGACAGAGCAAGGCACUCUUAGAUCUGACAGCAGUCAUCCUUCUCAAUUCACAGGCAUUCUCUGCAAGGAAUUAUCAAACUGUCAUUGUGAGAUACUGUCUCUACCUACCUAAGGAUAUCUGCCUUAGCUUCCCCAUUAAGCAGAAAGUGUUUCCUUCUGUCAAGAGAUUGAAGCUUCUGUUUAAAAUGA